rnacentral:rRNA from 1 species
AGCCGCGGUAAUUCCAGCUCCAAUAGCGUAUAUUAAAGUUGUUGCAGUUAAAAAGCUCGUAGUUGAAUUUCGGGAUUGACACAUCGGUCGUGCCUUAAGGGGUAUGAACUGGUGUAGUCAAUUUCUCACCUUCUGGAGAACCGCGAUGCCCUUAAUUGGGUGUCGCGGGGAACCAGGACCUUUACUUUGAAAAAAUUAGAGUGUUUAAAGCAGGCAUUUUGCUUGAAUACCUUAGCAAGGAAUAAUAAAAUAGGACGGCAUGAUUCUAUUUUGUUGGUUUCUAGGAUCACCGUAAUGAUUAAUAGGGAUAGUUGGGGGCAUUAGUAUUCAAUUGUCAGAGGUGAAAUUCUUGGAUUUAUUGAAGACUAACUACUGCGAAAGCAUUUGCCAAGGAUGUUUUCAUUAAUCAAGAACGAAAGUUAGGGGAUCGAAGACGAUCAGAUACCGUCGUAGUCUUAACCAUAAACUAUGCCGACUAGGGAUCGGAUGAUGU